CGGGCGCCGCGCUCCCGCCCGC
rnacentral:miRNA from 1 species